GAUGAACGCUGGCGGCGUGCCUAAUACAUGCAAGUCGAGCGAACAGACGAGGAGCUUGCUCCUCUGACGUUAGCGGCGGACGGGUGAGUAACACGUGGAUAACCUACCUAUAAGACUGGGAUAACUUCGGGAAACCGGAUCUAAUACCGGAUAAUAUAUUGAACCGCAUGGUUCAAUAGUGAAAGACGGUUUUGCUGUCACUUAUAGAUGUAUCCGCGCCGCAUUAGCUAGUUGGUAAGGUAACGGCUUACCAAGGCAACGAUGCGUAGCCGACCUGAGAGGGUGAUCGGCCACACUGGAACUGAGACACGGUCCAGACUCCUACGGGAGGCAGCAGUAGGGAAUCUUCCGCAAUGGGCGAAAGCCUGACGGAGCAACGCCGCGUGAGUGAUGAAGGUCUUCGGAUCGUAAAACUCUGUUAUUAGGGAAGAACAAAUGUGUAAGUAACUAUGCACGUCUUGACGGUACCUAAUCAGAAAGCCACGGCUAACUACGUG
rnacentral:rRNA from 1 species